rnacentral:rRNA from 1 species
GACGAACGCUGGCGGCGUGCUUAACACAUGCAAGUCGAACGAUGAAGCUGGAGCUUGCUCCGGUGGAUUAGUGGCGAACGGGUGAGUAACACGUGAGCAAUCUGCCCUUGACUCUGGGAUAACUGCGGGAAACUGUAGCUAAUACCGGAUACGACACCUUCGGGCAUCCGAUGGGUGUGGAAAGAAUUUCGGUCAAGGAUGAGCUCGCGGCCUAUCAGCUAGUUGGUGAGGUAACGGCUCACCAAGGCGACGACGGGUAGCCGGCCUGAGAGGGUGACCGGCCACACUGGGACUGAGACACGGCCCAGACUCCUACGGGAGGCAGCAGUGGGGAAUAUUGCACAAUGGGCGCAAGCCUGAUGCAGCAACGCCGCGUGAGGGACGAAGGCCUUCGGGUUGUAAACCUCUUUUAGCAGGGAAGAAGCGAAAGUGACGGUACCUGCAGAAAAAGCACCGGCUAACUACGUGCCAGCCGCCGCUGUAAUAC